rnacentral:lncRNA from 1 species
GGUAUAUAUUCGUUGGACAUUCUGUAUAGUGUAUAAUAUCAGUAUAUUAUCCAUAUAAACCUAAACAAUGAAAUGUCCUGAGUGAUUGACUGACAAACUGAUUGAUUCGUCUUCACCCAGCCCAAACAACUGGAUGAAUGGAUCGAGCUGAAAAUUGGCAUACAUAUGCUUUUAUGUCGUAGACAUCCGUUAAAAAGUUUUUUGAAAAUUCAACCUUUAAGUGGGUUAAAUAGGUCUCUUUAGGUAUUUGACGUACGAAUACCUAAUUGUUUAUUUAUUUAUUUUUUGUUUAUUCGUGGGUCGGGUUACACCUUGGCGAUACGGAUGAAAUAACAAAAAAAUUUACCCGGGCAACGCCGGACGAGAAAGCUAUAACAGGACUUGAGGGUUUUUGGUAUUUUUGGAACGUUAAAUUAAAUUUUAUUUGUGAUUUAUAGGUUACCUUGGUAACAUGCAUGAUCAGGUGGUUGGCACGAACGAGAAAACUAUUAUUAUUACAAUUAUUACUAUUAUUCACAUUAUUAUCUAGUAAUAGCAAACCAUUGUCGGGUCAGCAUUAUAACUUUAUACGCAUAAGUUUUGUAACUUAAGUUAUCAGUUAACAACAAAUUAAUACAUAUUCUAUAACAUCUGUUAUUGCUGUUGCGGUUAAACAGAUUAUAACAUAAUACACAGUUACCAGUUGCCAUGUAUAAUCUCUAUUUUAAAAUAAAAAAUAAAAACAUCGUUUUGACAUUUCAACGUAACCACCGCUGCAGUAACGUGAUAUGUUAUAUAAUUAUAAAUUACAGUGACAAUUAUUGAAGUUGUAAUAUAAUCACGAAGGCUGUCCAAAUCCGAAUAUAUUAAACAGAUGAGAUGGUAAAAAUAAAAAAAAAAUGUCAUGAACAUGGAUGUUUCACAAAUAACAUUUUCGACAGUUAUUAGUAUUUAUUUAUUUUUUUUUUUUUAUUGCUGAUGUUUAUACACUGCAACACGAUGAAAGAUUAAAACAGAACGAUACAAUCUUGAAAAAAAAAAUCAAUCAAGUCUCGUUUUGUGUAAUUCGAAUACGCCUAUUAAUAAAAUUGCUUUUCACCGUUGAUUUUUUCUGAAAUAUAAUACAAUUGGCUGUCCUCCCAGGGUCGGCCCUACCAGUUUAAUUUUUUCCAUUUGCUUGAUCGUUUAAAAGCAGAUUUUCUAAAACAAAUUCUUUAUAAAACCGACAUUACUAAAAUUAAUUUAACGUGUACUCCGCUCCUAUCAAAGUUAACUGUUGUUCUACUUCUUUGCCCGGUGAUAAAUAUAAAUUAACCAACAAUAACUGUUUUUUUCAUCUGUGUCACUAAAGUAAUCAACAAAUAAUAAUGAUUAAAAAUUAAUAAUAAUAAUAAAAAUGCAAUUUACGUAUGUAUCACAAAAACAACCAGAAACCCUGUAUGAGACUUUGAGGGACUGGAUUUCGGAAAUCUGGCUUUGAGGAUCAGAUCGUCCGUUACCAGUGUUGCAAUUUUCUCACCUCUGUGUGCGAUAAACUCUACUGUGGAACGCGCAUAGACCAACAGACAUUUCUUUUUAUAUUACCUACUAUAAAAUAUGGAUAGAUAAUAAUUAUAAUAAUCAAUUUUACCUAAACCACGAGAGAGCGCUUAUUUUUUAUUAAGAUAUAAUUAACCAUAGAUAAACAACCGAUAAUCUGAUGAGAAUUAAUACUAUAAUAUUUAUUAAUACAUUUAUAUUUGCGAAUACACGUUGAAAAUAUAUGUUUAAACACGCAACAACAAUAACAGUAACUACAAAGUGUUCUUAAAAAAAAAAAAAAAAAAAAAAAAUCAGCAUUAC